GCUUAAAGAUAUAUUCUGUGCUCUAUCUGGCAUGCGCUGGAACAGUUAACUGCUGGGACCGUUGGCAGUUGGGCGGCCAUCUUGAGGGAGAGUGCUGGAGAGGGAUUGUGAGGAGAUGCUGUGCAUCUGACCUGUCAGAGCCACUGGUCACGGCGACCGAUGUUAGAAAAACAACAACCGAAGACUAGUCUGAGACUCCAUUAGCACACCCACAGCGUCAGGUGGCAGUGGCUGGCACGUAAAGGACAUGGGCAGAGCAGAGUAGGAGACCCCCUUGCUGGACCCGGCCCAGGGAGUAUGGUGAUGCAGUUCCCUACACCCAGCAGAGGCGGAUUACUAGGCGAGGCCUUACCAGUGACAGACAUUUGGUGUAUGGCACCCUAAAAAAAAGACCCUUCACUCAGUAAAGGGCAAAGAAACCAGCAGCCUUUUGGAAUGGAAUGACCUCGCAGACAGCCAUCACGUUAGACCAGCAUAACUGAGGGGUAAAACAGGUGCAUGUGCUCCCCUGACUGACCACAUCCUGCUUAUACGGACAGUACUGAAAGAAAUACGCUGACUGCCGCUGUGAUUAUGAGAAGCGCUGCCACCACGCCACCGAGGAUGCCCAACAUGCUCCCGGAUAGUCCCUGGGGUAGGGGCUUAUCUGAAACAGAUCAAUUGUUCAUCAGUUUUCCAAGCGGUCAAGCAGCAUGCAAGCAGAUCAAAGACGUGAAGGUUACAUAUCGAAUAAAGGCAUCAUCUUACUCUAGAAGACACGGCUCCACGACUCCCAGCAAGCUGCUUUAAGGUGUGACUGACAGAGCGUGUAACUCAGAACAGAGAGAGCAGGGAGGAUUAUGGGAGCUGAGCUGGUCUGGGAACCAUACAAACACCCAACAGGAUGCCAUACCCCUCACAGAAACUGGCCACACACCUUAGUGGGCCUCUAAGAUUGCACUUCGCUGGUGAGACCUUCAUGUCACAGUCCGACAUUGCAGGCACUAUCCUUGUCUCCAGUGUAUUCCCAAGUACAGUCGGCGACUCUUUUUAUCCACCCUUUCUAGGGCAUUUGGUAAUUGAAUGCCACUGUUAAUACUGUAUCUGUCACUAUCUUAGUUGUCUUUAUAUGUCUCUAUUUCAUUUUCCCCUUGUGUCCUCUUUAACCUUGUCAUAUUGAAAUUAUUAUACUGUAUGUAUUUUAAUUGUAGUGGU